UACCUUAGGCCUCUCUGCUCAACACAUGCAAGUCGAGCGGCAGCACGGGUACUUGUACCUGGUGGCGAGCGGCGGACGGGUGAGUAAUGCCUAGGAAUCUGCCUAGUAGUGGGGGAUAACGUCCGGAAACGGGCGCUAAUACCGCAUACGUCCUACGGGAGAAAGUGGGGGAUCUUCGGACCUCACGCUAUUAGAUGAGCCUAGGUCGGAUUAGCUAGUUGGUGAGGUAAUGGCUCACCAAGGCGACGAUCCGUAACUGGUCUGAGAGGAUGAUCAGUCACACUGGAACUGAGACACGGUCCAGACUCCUACGGGAGGCAGCAGUGGGGAAUAUUGGACAAUGGGCGAAAGCCUGAUCCAGCCAUGCCGCGUGUGUGAAGAAGGUCUUCGGAUUGUAAAGCACUUUAAGUUGGGAGGAAAGGCAGUUACCUAAUACGUGAUUGUUUUGACGUUACCGACAGAUAGCACCGGCUAACUCUGUGCCAGCAGCGAA
rnacentral:rRNA from 1 species